rnacentral:rRNA from 1 species
CCUACGGGUGGCAGCAGUAGGGAAUCUUCCACAAUGGACGAAAGCCUGAUGGAGCAACGCCGCGUGAGUGAAGAAGGGUUUCGGCUUGUAAAGCUCUGUUGGCAGUGAAGAAAGAUAGAGGUAGUAACUGGCCUUUAUUCGACGGUAAUUACUUAGAAAGUCACGGCUAACUACGUGCCAGCAGCCGCGGUAAUAAGUAGGUGGCAAGCGUUGUCCGGAUUUGUUGGGCGUAAAGGGAGUGCAGGCGGUUCAAUAAGUCUGAUGUGAAAGCCUUCGGCUCAACCGGAGAAUUGCAUCAGAAACUGUUGAACUUGAGUGUAGAAGAGGAGAGUGGAACUCCAUGUGUAGCGGUGGAAUGCGUAGAUAUAUGGAAGAACACCAGUGGCGAAGGCGGCUCUCUGGUCUGCAACUGACGCUGAGGCUCGAAAGCAUGGGUAGCGAACAGGAUUAGAUACCCGAGUAGUC